AAAAAUUCUUUGAAGGAAAGAGUAAGCAAUAUCUUAGUAUGUAUAGCGAGUAGAGAAUGGUGAGAGCUCUAUGAGAAAAGUUUUGCCAAAAGACAUUCUGGAGAAGUUUAUUUGAAUUUUAUAGUAAGAUAGAACGUAUUCCUGCGUUAAAGGAUUUGAGAAAACUUAGUUUAUUAACUUUGUUAAAGUAGAAUGGUACCGUGAAGCAUAGCUUUCACUUCUAUA
rnacentral:ncRNA from 1 species